UGAAAAAAAUCUGAGAACGCAUAUGGCCUCUCCAAGUUCUUCGCACCUAUACUCUAUUCACAGUUACAAAAUGUCCACUGAUGAAUCACUAGGUUCUCAUCAACAUAACUCAUUUGCAGCGUUCCUUGAAGAAAAAUUGUAUACUUCCUCAGAAUCAUCAAAAGUUCAAAAUCCUUAAGUGAGGAAAAUGGCAAAUGGAAAGAGACCUCAGGAAGGAGGAAAGAGACCAGAGACAAACACUGCAUUUGAAAUACUUGAGGAUAUCUAUGCUGAAUAUUGCACACCAGAUGAAGAAACUUAUGGGAAAGAAAACAAGAAUCAGCGCAAGGUGCAUAUUUAGAGGAUUGAAAGGAGAUGGGCAAAGGAAUGGAGGGAAUAUCGCUAUGUUAAUCCGAAGUACAUGACAAAUUUUGCUGUAAACCCUCCUUGCUCAAGACCACCACUAGCUGCUGGACAACAUGCUGAUCCUACUAGCAUCAGGCGUGGUGAGGAAUUUAUUUUUUAGAGAAGAGGCUAGAGCCUGACUUUAUAAAUAAAGCCACCAGGCAGAGUUAAAACAAACAACACAGGCUAACAACACAUCAAGAUCAGAGUGUCAACGGCAACAAGACCAAGCUAAAGUAUAACAUACAUGGCUCCUAGGCAAGUACACGACGCGCAGGCCGGAAAUCGAAAAGAUAGCAAAAUCAGGGCCAACAACUCCUAACCGCCCGCUUGAGCUGAAGAAAGGGAGAUAGCAGUAUCCCGAAUCUUGGACAUCCUGACAUCAAAAGCAUCCCGGCCCUCCUCCUUAGUCAAUAAUCUAAACGGCUGCAAGAAUAUGCAAAUUUUAAAUAAGCAAUCAGCAUGUUUAACAAGAAAGACAUGUUCAAUGGUAAACUUGUUCCUUGUCAUCCAUAGAGUCCAACACACCGCUGCCAAUCCCACCCAAAAUAAUCUUCUCUGGGCCCCAACCAGGCUGGAGGCCAAAAGACGAAGGUCUGGGAAGGAAGUGGGUCUCCAAGAAACAUGCAACCACGAUCUGCUACAAUGCCAUAAAAGUUUAGCCAAAAUAGAGUUAAAGAAGAUAUGGGUCAUGUCCUCACACUGCCUGGAAAGGGAGCAGCAGUCAAAGCCAGGACCAUUACGUUUGCGAAUCUGGUCACCAGCUGGCAACCGCCCACGGGAGGCCUGCCAUAAGAAAAUCUUGAUUUUCGGAGGAAUGUUGGCCCUCCAAAUCCACUUGAAUUUGGAAGUGUUCGAUCCAGAGAUCAGCUUUCCAUACUGGGAUUUAAUAGAGAAACGACCAAACGAGUAGUGGGGUCAGGCCACCGAGUCCUCCUCCUCCAAGAGCGUAGGGAAGAAGGCAACGAGGCGCUGCCAGUCGACCAACUCUUCAGGAGAUAGAGAACGCCGUAGCUGAAGGUCUGAGUUAUUGGCAGAGAGCUCAGAGAUCAAGAUCUCAGGGUCAGGACAGUAAGAGAAAAGGACAGGAAAAGAAGCUGCAAGUGUGGUCAUACCGCACCACCAGUCGAGGCAAAACCUAGUGGAUUUUCCAUUAUGCACAAUAAAUUUGACUAGGCCAUGGAAAAUAGGCCUAAGUUUGACAAGGUCUCUCCAGAACUGAGAGGCGCCCGUGGCAUGGGCAAACAUGGGGCUAGAGGAAGGGAAGUAUUUGGCUUUGAGAAUAUUGUACCAGAGGGGCUUGUCCGUGGUAGUGGACAUGAUCUUCCACCACCAUUUGAUUAUUAGGCACUUGUUCAUGUCUAGAGUAUUAAUAAUGGCUAGCCCCCCAAGGCUUUUGGGUCUGCAAAUGUGUUCCCAUUUGACCAUGCGAUACUUUCGCUUGUUAUCAACCGCAUUCCAAUAGAAGGAACCUCUAUGUUUAUCAAAACCAGUCACAAACAUAGGGAGGGAUGAGAAACAAGCGUUAAUCGGAGCAACUUUUCCAGCUUGAGUAUUGUAUCUGCCCCUCCAGGGCAUGACACGAUUGCCAACUUUGGCCACUGUAGGUGCAGAAGUCUUUGGCCAGAAGUUUGUUAGCAGAGAUAGGAAGGCCAAGGUACUUGAGGGGAAGUAGCCUACAGAGUAGUUAAGCAAGUGGGCUACACGCAAGGCCUCGGUCUCCAAAACACCAGUGACGAUCACUUCACUUUUGGAAAAGUUAAUUUUCAAGCCCGACAGAGCCUCGAAGUAGAGAAGAAGAAACUUGAGAUGGGAGAGGCAAGCAUAAUUAAGUUCCACCAUAAUAAUCAUAUCAUCGGCAUACUGUAGAUGAGUGAUCCCUUCAGGGAUGAGAAGUGGGCUCACCAGCGAGAUGUGUCCAGCCACCACGGCUGUCGGUGUCAAAACCGGCGGAUCUCGGGUAGUGGGUCCCGAACUGUGCGUCUAGGCCGGAUGGUAACAGGAGGCAGGGAACACGAUGUUUUACCGAGGUUCGGGCCCUCUUGAUGGAGGUAAAACCCUACGUCCUGCUUGAUUAAUAUUGAUGAUAUGGGUAGUACAAGAGUAGAUCUACCACGAGAUCAAGGAGGCUAAACCCUAGAAGCUAGCCUAUGGUAUGAUUGUUGUAUAUGGAGUUGAUUGCCUACGGACUACAACCCUCCGGUUUAUAUAGACACCAGAUAGGGUUAGGGUUACAUAGAGUCGGUUACAAUGGUAGGAGAUCUUGAAUAUCCGCAUCGCCAAGCUUGCUUUCCACGCCAAGGAAAGUCCCAUCCGGACAUGGGACGAAGUCUUCAAUCUUGUAUCUUCAUAGUACAGGAGUCCGGCUGAAGGUAUAGUCCGGCUACCCGAACACCCCCUAAUCCAGGACUCCCUCAGUAGCCCCUGAACCAGGAUUCAAUGACGACGAGUCCAGCGCGCAAAUUGUCUUCGGCAUUGCAAGGCGGGUUCCUCCUCCAAAUCCUUCAUAGAAGAUUGUAAACACCAAGAGUAGUGUUCAGCUCUGCAAAAUAAGCUUCCACAUAUUGCCAUAGAGAGAAUAAUAUUAACACAAAUCAAAUCUGCUGACGUAUUCCGCAAUGCGUCAUCACACUACAGCCAAGACCUUUACUCGAAUCGUUUUCACUUUUCCACCUCAGCGUGUUUUGCGAGGCGGUUUCCUUGGCACGUCUUGUCAAAGCAGAGAUCGUGUACCCCCCUUUUACGGGAUUCUCAUCAAUACGGACGUGGGUAACCCAACCGCGCCACUUAUCACGGCGCUCGGGAGGCAAGCGAGUUUUACUAGGCAGGUGGGGACGCACAACCGCAUCCGCCCAUAUAAGGGGACAAGGAUCCACCUUUUUACCUACGCCUUCUUCCUCCUUUGCCUAUCCAUCUCCUACGCACCCGAGCUCCAGCGCCCAAGCCCGCACUUCCCACCUCAACCUUCUCCAGCAAUGUCCGGAGCGGGAGGCAAGUGGAUGGUCUCCUCCGCCACGGAGGGCCAAGUCAAGAAGCUAAGGAAGGCCGAAUACCUGUCCAAGGACAUCGUGCACCGGCUUCCCAAAAAGGGGCAGCUUCUCCCCACCCCGAGGCUCCAUGAGAGGGUAGUAUUUCUCCCCCACUUCCUCCGCGGACUGGGUUUUCCACUCCACCCAUUUGUCUGGGGGCUCAUGUUCUACUACGGCCUGGAUUUCCACGAUCUAGCCCUGAACUUCAUCCUCAACAUCUCGGCGUUUAUCGACGUGUACGAGGCUUUUCUCCGCAUCCGCCCUCAUUUCGGCCUCUGGCUGAAGACCUUCAACGUCAAGCCCAAGGUGGUGCGCGGCAGCCAGGUGGAGUGCGGAGGCGCCAUGGCGGGCAAGAUGGACAACGUCCUAUGGUUCGAGGGCUCUUUCGUGGAGAUCCUAAAGGGAUGGCAAUCCGGGUGGUUUUAUAUCACCGAGCCGCGUGAUCCGAAAUGGACCGCAGCCCCCGAGUUCCGAUCCGGACCCCCCACGCGGCUUAUGUCCUGGAAAGAGACGGGCCUGUCAUGGGGUGACGAAAAAGAGGUGACCGGAUUGCGAACAUGCAUCCAGUCCCUGGUGAACAAGCCAGUCCGGCUUGUUAAUGUAAUCCAGGUUAUGCUCGUCCGCCGGAUCCUCCCGUGCCAACAACGGUAUUUUAAUCUGUGGGAGUUCGACCCGGCGCAGCAUCAAACCCUCAGCAGGCUCUUCGACACGACGUACGAAGACGCCUGGAAGAUGCUAUUCAAGGGCGCCGAGGCUCCCGCAUCCGCUUCCGAGGACCGCGGAUACAGCUCACAGCGUCAUGCUAGCAAGGUAAGCCAUCUACACCUUUUACAGGAUGUUAAGCUUUUUUCAUAGUUUGACUCUAUGCGGGAUCUAAACUCCCUUACCUUUGACAGGCUUGGCGGGCGAUAUCCGGACCGAUUAACUGUCCGGCUCCGCUGCCCGAAGACCCAGCGCCAGCUCUACUAGUGAAGUUGCUGGUUCCGGCGCCUUAUGUGGUGCCGGAGAAGAAGGCCAAGAAGAAGAAGACCACGGGGACUCGAAAGAGUGCCAGCAAUGUGGUGGUGUCGGACUCGUCAUCUGACCAGUCCGAGACGCCCUCCUCCCGCAAAAACGAGGAGGAGGAAGAAGAAAACUCCCCCCCCCAGCGGAGGGAGGAGAGAAGAGGAAGGUCGCCCCAAUGGGGGAGGCCGAGGGGUCUAGGAAAAGGAAGACACCUCCGCCGGACUACGCCCCCAACGCCGAAGAGGGCAAAGAGGAGUGGCCAAACAGGGCCAAGCGUCCGGCGAAAUCGUAAGUUCGGAUAUUAGAGUAACUCAUGAUGUUCCUUUGUUGCACAGCUUUCCCUAAUGUCGAAUGUAAUUAUGCAGUCCGCCCCGGGCCGAAUUCGACGAAUCGUCGAGUUGCUCCCUGGACUCAUCGGACGUGAACUCAGUUCCGCCCGCUGUCUCCCCCCGCACUACAGACAACGCCGAAGUGGCGCCACGACAAGCUCCGGGGAAGGAGGAGGUGGUCCCGGAGGAGCCGCAAGGCAACCUCCCGGACUCCAGGAGUGAAGGGGAUAAGGCUCCCCAGGGUUCUAAGUCUGGCUUUGUGCCGGACACCGCGCCGGAAUCAGUUCCGGACCACGGUAGGCGAACUCCUUCCAAGAGGAGCAAGCCUUCUGAGUCAGCGGCCUCCGUCCAACAGGAGGUGCCGGACAAUCUGCUGGAGGUGCUUGACGACGCCUCCAUCGACGAGGGGCACCGUACUAUUAUGAGUACGGUGAUCCAGAAGGUUCAGUCCGCCAAGAGAGGACUGACUGAAGCUUGCGCUAGCCUUCUAACAGGCUUCGAGGUAAGUAAAAAUAUGUAAAAAUAUUACCGCAUAGACAGUAGCCCCCGAUGCUCUGUGGCGUUCGGUAAGAAAAGCCGAAUAGAGGAUCUAUUAAAUUUCGCAGGAGUCUAAAAAAAGAGUCAAUAUGCGUAUGCAGGCUUCGCUGCUAUCCACCGCCGCACUGACUGCGGAGGUGGGUGUCCUGAAGCAGGACCUCGAGCGGACCGAGCAAGAGCUCGGCCUUGCCAAGCGGCGGCUCGAGGAGGAAGAAGGUAAGAAAUACCUUACAGAAAAAGUGCCUAUAAAAAGGCUUGAUUGCAAAAAGAGUAACAGGAUUGUACUACUUAUUGUAGGGGCCACGACUGAGGUGGCGACCCUUAAGCAGGCGCUGUCUGAGGCCGAAAAGAAAACGGCCGCGGAGCGCACCGAGCGAGACAGACUUGGGGCUCAGGUCGGCGAGGUGCAUCAAGAGCUUCAGGCUCUCAUGAAAAAACAUGAGAGUUUGGAGCUGGAGUCGAAGGCGCAAGCAUCCGAGCUUGCAACGGCCCUAGAGGCUGCCAAGUCUGCCAAGGUCAAAGCCCAAAAGGCCCUCCAAGAGUUGGAGGAGAUGAGGAAGAUAGCGGCGGGUAAGGCAUUCUUUAUGCAAAGCAGAAAUAUAAAAGUGAACUACCUGUUACUUACCCGAAUCCGGAGCUCUCCAGGGGCAUUCGCAGAUCUUCCCCGCAGCGUAUCCGACGCUGCCGCAUUCUACCGAGCUGAAGAGGGUAGCUCGACAGAGAAGGUGUUCUGGUCUCAGUAUUCUAAGGCCGGACACCCUGUGCCCUUGAGCGACCAGCUGAAACAGUUGGUCGAGCUCCACAAGGCGGCCGAGCAGGCCAUGAAGGGCUUCAUAGUUCGGCUGUGGCCCGGAGAGGCCCUGCCUGGGAGCUAUUUCGGGCUGGUGCGGCGGCUGGUGGAGGCCUGUCCGAGGCUCGAGGUCAUCAAGCGCUCCGUCUGCAUCGAAGGUGCCCGUCGGGCCCUUGCCCGUGCAAAGGUGCACUGGGGUAAGCUGGACGGUGAGAAGCUUGUGAAGGACGGGCCGCCGCCGGGGAAGGAGCAUCGCAAGCCCGAGAACUACUACAAGGAUGUUCUUGCAGGUGCCCGCCUUGUGGCGGAUGAAUGUACCAAGGAUGUGAUUUUUGAAUGAACUCGCUCGUGUUUAUCCUGUGCGCUGAAAACUUGUUCAUAUGCGCUAAGCAAUGCUUAUUGAAUUUCAAAUAUUACUUUCUGUGCGGCCAUUUAUCAAAAAUUGAGAGAUGGCCAGUCGUCGGCUUCUGCCCCCAUGCCACUAGUGCUGGGGUGUUCGGGAUAAACCUGAGCGCUCUUUUUCCCAUAGUUGGGUCCUUCGAGGGAGGCGCUCAGGACAACGAACCAGGCAAUCGGACUAUAAUGCUUGAACACUCUCACUUAGCCAUAGAACUCUAUAAUUUUAAAUUUCGGCGAAGCCCCUAGUUCGGAAGACCGAGUUCGGGGCACUAUCCACGCCUUGGCCGGACAAAGCUAGCUCGAACAGCGACCGGUCUCUCGCCACAUCAUGACAGUCAGUUUUAGCUUUCUCCACUGAGGUGCUUAACCCAGCUGAACCGGGGCACAAUCGUAGUGGUUCUCCUAGUGCUACCUUAGCCGAUAGAGCGGAAUGUAAGGCACCAAAACAUAGGAGCCGGGCAAACCCAACUAUUGACCCAAAUCAUGAUUCGGAGCCAAUGCAUAUAGUGCUAUAAGUUCGGGGUGCCGCACUUGUGAAAGUGUACGGACUUCUCACACCAUUAUGAGGGGUAUUGAAACCCCUGGCGUGUUUGCCGUACCAUGGUGUACGGGUGCAAUCAUGUCAUUUAAUAAACAUAAAUGUGAAAAGAAGAUAAUGCAAAAAAUAGACAAGAAGCUAAGCAUUGUUUAUAGAGAGGCUAUUUAUCAAAGCCGAACGAUACAAAUAGUGCGGUAAGCAAAAGAUAUUGGACUAUUUAGUAUGUCCUGACUAGGGGCAGGCCGCGGAAUUGUAUUUAAAAUAGGUAUACCGCUUGUAACAGAGACCACCUGGGAGUUCCAUAAUGUGGCAUGGCUUGUCUGCCUCCCUGGAGCUUGCAUCAUUUGUGCGGCAGUCGAAUUGCCGAACAGGUCGUCCGAAGUAUGGAGUCCUGAAAGUAAGAAAAAAUUAAAAAAAAAGAAUCCGGCAGCCCCUAGUACGUUUUAAGCCGUAUUUUGGGCAUGCCGUUAUUGUGCCCCUUCACCUGUGCCCAUGGUAUUUCAAGGGCGUAGUUAUGUACGCGAGGUACUGGUUUCGUUAUGUCACGAGAUCUGGGGUUGGGGCCGCAUUGCUACGCUUGCUCAGAGUGUGCCAGGCGGUCCUGCUGUGGGUUACUCCGGGCACGCUUGGCAAUGUCUGGCUUUUUGAUGGCUGGACUGGAGAAUUUCCUGAGAAGGCUACUUUGUACCUCCGCUGCGAGAGCCGUCGUGUGCUCCUCCGUACGGAGGGAGCGUUCGGUGUUUCCGUUGACCGUGAUUACUCCUCGAGGGCCUGGCAUCUUGAGCUUGAGAUAUGCAUAGUGCGGCACCGCAUUGAACUUUGCGAAUGCGGUUCGUCCGAGCAGGGCGUGAUAGCCACUGUGAAAUAGGACUAUAUUGAAGAUUAACUCUUCGCUUCGGAAAUUGUCCGGGGAUCCGAAGACCACGUCAAGUGUUACUGAGCCUGUACAGUUGGCUUCUACACCUGGUAUAAUGCCUUUAAAGGUCGUUCUUGUGGGCUUAAUCCUUGAGGGGUCUAUGCCCAUUUUCCGCACUGUAUCCUGAUAAAGCAGGUUCAGGCUACUGCCGCCGUCCAUGAGGACUCUUGUGAGAUGAGAUCCGUCGAUAAUUGGGUCGAGAACCAAUGCGGUGAAGCCUCUAUGACGGAUUAUAGUGGGAUGGUCCCUUCGAUCAAAAGUGAUCGGACAGGAGGACCAUGGGUUGAACUUUGGGGCGACUGGCUCCAUCGCGUAUACGUCCCGUAGCGCACGCUUCCGCUCCCGCUUGGGAAUGUGGGUUGCGUAUAUCAUGUUCACCGCCCGCACUUGUGGGGGAAAGCCCUUCUGUCCAUUGUUGUUCGGCGGCUUGGGCUCCUCGUCGUCGCUGUGCAGCCCCUUGUCUCUGUUUUCGGCCCUUAACUUGCUUGCCUGCUUGAACACCCAACAAUCCCUGUUAGUGUGAUUGGCUAGCCUUUUGGGGGUGCCAUGUAUCUGGCACAAGCGAUCGAGUAUUCGGUCCAAACUGGACGGGCCCUAAGUAUUCGGUCCAAACUAGACGGGCCCUGAGUAUUCGGUCAAAACCGGCGGAUCUCCGGUAGUGGGUCCCGAACUGUGCGUCUAGGCCGGAUGGUAACAAGAGGCAGGGAACACGAUGUUUUACCCAGGUUCGGGCAUCUUGAUGGAGGUAAAACCCUACGUCCUGCUUGAUUAAUAUUGAUGAUAUGGGUAGUACAAGAGUAGAUCUACCACGAGAUCAAGGAGGCUAAACCCUAGAAGCUAGCCUAUGGUAUGAUUGUUGUAUAUGGAGUUGAUUGCCUACGGAUUACAACCCUCCGGUUUAUAUAGACACCGGAUAGGGUUAGGGUUACAUAGAGUCGGUUACAAUGGUAGGAGAUCUUGAAUAUCCGCAUCGCCAAGCUUGCCUUCCACGCCAAGGAAAGUCCCAUCCGGACACGGGACGAAGUCUUCAAACUUGUAUCUUCAUAGUCCAGGAGUCCGGCUGAAGGUAUAGUCCGGCUACCCGAACACCCCCUAAUCCAGGACUCCCUCAACGGCUCUAUACAAAAUAUUAGAGAGAGCAUCCGCAACGAAGUUAAAAAGGAUGGGAGAGGCCUGGUCUCCUUGCCUGAGGCCUCUGGGGUUCUUGAAGAAGUUACUAACCCUCCCAUUGACAGAAAUAGCAGUGUGCCCCCCCCCUCCCGAGACCAUAUGCAUAAUUCUAUGGACAAUGCAACCAUCAAAACCCUUGGACAAAAGAACUUGCCUUAAGAAGCCCCAACUCGCGGAAUCAUACGCCUUCUCAAAAUCCAACUUAAGGAUAAUUGCCUUGCUGCCAGAUUUAUGGAUAUCAUGAAUGAUCUCAUGCAAGCAGAGAACCCCAUCAAUUAUAAAGAGGCCUUUGACAAAGGCGGAUUGAGUAGAAGAAAGGGUGCGAUGGGGAACUGGUGUGAGGCGAGUGGCCAAACAUUUGGCACGAAAUUUGGCAAAAUUAUUAACCAAGGAAAUAGGCCUAAACUAGGAGAUAAUGUCUGCGCCCUUGACUUUAGGAAUGAGGGAAAUAAUAGCAUAAUUGAGUCUAGAAAUGUGCACCAUCCCCAAACAGAAUCCUUGGAUAAUCGCACAAAUAAGAGCUUUAAGUUGAGGCCAAAAGGUCCUGAAGAAAGGAACUGAGAAGCCAUCCAGGCCAGAAGCAGAAUUAGCAUUAGCUUUAGUGAUAGAAGUGAGGAUUCCUCUUCAGAGAAAGGAAGUGUAAGAGCAUCAUUUUCAUCCGAAGAGACCUGGUCGCGGUUGUUCCAGAAAGAAGAGGAAAUUCUAAAGCCUAGGUCUAGUUUGGCAGAAAGAAGGGAAGAUAAGAAAUCGACCACAUGUUCCAUGAUAAUACCUUGGUCUGAGAUUUUUAACCCAUUGAUCAUCAGGCUGUCAAUCAUGCAUCUUCGACGCCUCCCAUUGACAAUAGCAAAAAAGUAGGCAGUGGGAGAAUCUCCUUUAAGCAACCAAUUGAUAGUACCCCUUUGGCGCCAAUAAAUUUUAGCAUGACGAUGCAACUGCACAAGGUCUCCUCAAUAAAGAAACGCAACACCCAUUCAGAACCAGAGAGGCCGCACGUAUCAGCAUGUAGGUCUAAAUUACUAAUUUGAUUCAUAAGAAGGGCCUUCUCCCUGCGCUCCUGCAUCGCGUGAUUACGAGACCAGCCACACCGGAAUUUACGUAAGGAAUAGGAGCGAUGAUGCCAGUCAUCCAUAGGACCGAAGGAGCGACGAGCCAUCGAGAGAGUGUCUGAAAUUUUAGACGAGUGGAGGUCGCAAAAACCAUCAAUUAGCAGUCAGGAAGUGUCAAACUGGAACCGAGGAGGGGUGGGAGAGCGCUGCCACCCCGCAUCAAGAAUGAGUGGGGUGUGGUCUGAGCCCACAAUGGCCUUAGCCUUGAGAGUGGAUAACGGAAAAAGGGAGUCCCAAUUAGGGCACACAAAAACAUGGUCCAGGACAGAACGAAUAGGGGAGACUUGAUGGUUAGUCCAUGUGAAUCUAGAUCCCAUCCUGGGUGUCUCACGAUAAGUGUAACUACUAAUGAACUCAUUGAAAGUGUCUGCAAGCGGCCGGGAGAAGUUGUUGGUGUUCUUAUCGGUCAGGUAGUGACGCAAAUUAAAUUCACCACCCAUGAGGAGGGUAAGAGUACAAGAUUCAACCUUAAUAGAAAUCUCAUCCAGGAACACGGUGGAGAGGGAAUGAUCGGCCGGUCCAUACACCACCAUGGCCUCCCAAAGGACAUUUAAUUGAAGGUGAUACAGAAUAGUGCUGGCCCAAAAACUCCCAUGAUCGAAAGCUACAAAGUCAAAAACUUCACAUUUAGAACCGAUAAGGACGCCACCCGAAUGGCCCGAGGAAGGCAGAAAAUUCCAAUCAAAUCUAUCCGCUCCUGCAACUACAGAAAGCUCGUGGGGAGAGAAAUAAGUCUUGAAGGUCUCUACAAGGCCCACCAGGUCAUUAUUAUCGCCCCUCACGACAUCUUUUAGUUGAUCCCGGUACCCCCGAGCGCCGAAUCCCCUCACAUUCCAAAAUAAGGCUUUCAUUUGAAAGAAAGGUUUUUGAUACGGAGACUCGACCUACAGGGUGCCAAGUAGGAUUUAGCGCGUUUAGGGGCACCCUUCUUCACAGAAACACAAGGAGCAGCAUCCCAGUCUGCCCCCCCCCCCUCCCAUGAGCCCACUUCGGCCAUAACCAAAGGGGUGGGAGGAGCCGCAUCAUGCUCUUUUGCUUUGGCAAUGGCAGCCUGGGCCACCUCGUUGGCCCUAAUCAACGCAAGAAUAGAGGAGGAGGAACCAACAUUUUGAUCAAGUGAUAUACCAACAUCUGAGAGAACCUUUGUCAAGUGAUCGUCCGAGUAAGAGGGGAGAACAAGUCUAAUAGGGGAGGAGGGAGAGUUCAUAGCAAUCAACGGGGAUGGUGUUGUGGAAAUACCUCAAGCCGGGAGGUCACGGGCCUCCCACGACGAGCAGCUUUGUCCGCCACCCAAACCCCACUAUCACGGAUCUAGCCACUCUUGCACGCUGUGGAUGAGGGGGAGUGCCGGAGUAGAGCGCGGAGCCACCGAAGAAUCCUGGCCCGCCACGUCGACCAUAUCAGCAUCCAGGCAGUGGAAAAGCCCUGCCGUGGAGAGCUUGGUGCUCGAGGAAGCACAACUGCGUGUCGAGAAUUUCCGCACAAAAGAUUUCCACUUGGUGAGAGCACCAACACAGCCACGUGGAGGUGAGACAGGGAGAUCCAUGAUUCCAGACAGUGAUGGCGAGCCCAGACGAGCCGACAUGUUGGAGCAGACACCGGAAGCGGGAUUGCUAGCCAGAGUAUAGGCCGGGGUAGCCUGAGCCGUUAGUUUCUCAGCAACCGCAUCCUUCGCCAAGUUCUUGCUCUUUGGGGCAUUAUCCUUGAAAAGUUCCGGGGACUCAGAUCCCAUGCCAUCCCACUCCGAAGUCGUGAAGUGUGGGUGAGAGCCCCCAAAGGAAUGGGCCAAGCGCCAAGCCAAGCUUCAGAAAAUUGCCGCAGAAGCAGUGAGAAAAUUCAAUGAAGACAGUCAAGCUGCUGCUGCUAAGGCUUUUGCCAGUAGAACUGCGCCAAAGAAGGCCAUCUUGAAGAAAUCAGCUAUGAAGACAAAGCCUUCAAGCUCAAUGCCCUCACGGCCAAGUUCCUCAAUAGCAAAGCCCUUAGGGAAGAAUCCUCAAGCAACUUUCUCAAGCGCAGCGCAAAUUCCCUCAGUUGCUACAAAAUCCUUAGUUGCUGCUGCAAAGUCCUCAACGCCGGUGCAUCUUGCAACGUGUUAGCGGACUGCUGGAUUUUUGAAUAGCCUCACGGGCAUCUGCAACUUCCUCGGCUCAGCAGCAAUCCUCAAGUGGUCCAUCUUUGUUGAAGGUCAAGUCCACUCUUGGACAUGGAAAGAGGCCAAUUCCUCAUAAGAAGCAUGUGGCUUUCCAUGUUCAAUCUUAUGAUGAUGAAGCUAAUGAUGAAGAACUUGUUGAAAUCAUCAAAGAUAGACUGCAAAGGGCUACAACAGUCAAAGGCAGCUAUGUGCCUCUUAUGCUGGAUCCGAAGAACGUCCUCAGUUUCAUUGACAUAUGGCACAAGGAUCCAAACACUCCACUCCCCGACCUGAAUCUAACUCCUGGUCAAAGUCACAUGUUGAAUGCCUUCAUAGGCGAAGAAAAAUUAAAAUUUGAGAAGGCCAGACGCGCCAAGAAGGACCAAUACAAGAAGGAGCGAUUUCUGAGGAACAACGUUCUUACUCUGGCUCCUAAAGAACUUGUCACUAUUCAAAAGGAAAUAAAAGGCCUAAGUGAUGAAUUUGAUAGAUACCAUGUUGAUUGGCUAGGAGCCAAGAUCAGAUUUGUCAAGAUUGCCAAGGACCUCAAGACAAAUGUUGCAGCUCCAUCGCAACAACCAAUUCCAGAGGCUGAAGCUUAUGUUCAACUAUUGAAGAAAAUGAAAGAGAAGCUAGAGAAACUCAGGCUGCUGAAGAAACUACUAGGGAAGCUAAAGAAACUGCUGCUCCUGAAGACAAUGCUAGGGCAACCACCAAUGUUGUGCCUGAAGAACAACCUAGGCGAGCUGAAGAAUCUGAUGUGCCUGAAGAAACUAAGAAUGCAAGGGCGACUGCAAUACUCAUGCCUAAAGAAAAUGCACCACCUUCACCUGCUCCUCCUGCAACAUCUUCAAAGAUGAAGAAAACCAUCCUUCCUUCUGCAUUAGAAGUGAAGAAAACAAAGGCUGCGGAGAAGGAAGCCACGAAGAAGAGGAAAGCAUCAACCUUUGCAGAGUCCUCAGCUCCCAAGAAAGUGAGGACUUUGAUGAGCUCCUUUAGUAAACCAAUUGAUGUUGUUCCAAUCUCUAUUGUGCCAUCAAAGGAACUAGUUCUGUUUGGCGAAGAAUAUGUCAUUCCUAAUGAUGAUACUGAUGAAGAAAUCCUUUUGUUGCUUCCUCGGAGUAGUUGGAUGAAGAAAUCAAAGUGGAAGCUACUGCUUCAACUCCGCUGGUAUCAUCGCAUGUGCCUUAGUUCAUUGCUAAAGAGGCAGGCGUUGAAGAAAUUGACGAAGAUGUGGAUAUUGGCUUAAUCACUCCUGGUCUGAAUGAUGAUUAUUGGGAAAAUCUUCACCCCAAUUCACUAAUCGCCACACAUCUACAUCAAAUUCCUUAGUCCCCUAUGCAAACUGAUGAAAUAUUGAUAGGGUAUGAAGAACGUCCAACUUCUCUCCAAUCUAUUCUUGAAGAAAUACCAGCUGCAACAGCUGAAGAAAAUGGAGAACCAGACUGCUGAUGAAACUGCUGCCUCAAUUCCUCAUUCCGAAGUACCUAAAGUUGUAAAUCAAGAGGUUGUGAGGCUUGCGACUGCAAAUCUUCAGCCCAAGCCUCAAAAUGCUCAUUCUGGCACAAAGAGGCCGAAAUUCAAGAAUGCAGAUUUCUUUGCUGAGCAUCAUUUCUUCACUGAUGAGAAUCCUUAUGACUCAGCAAGACUAAGGCGUAAGAGGUUUUAGACUGCCAGUCAAAUGAAUUUUUAUGCCCUAGUUCUAUUGGACAAGGAAAAAGUCUUCCAACGCAGGUGGAUUCCUCAUGUAGAUAUGGAGUCCAUUCCAUGCUUUCUACAAGUUCUGAAUGUUCUUCACGAAGCUGGAAUCCUCAAUUUCUGAGAUGACAUAUGUGAUUGGAAUGAAGAGCUAAUUCUUCAGUUCUAUGAAACUCUGCACCUCACUAGAAAUGUCACCAAUGUGAAUUCAUGGAUUCUGGACCGGAUGAUUAAAAACACUCACUACAAAGCUCCAGCAACUGAAUUUCUUCAUGCCAUCCCAGUAAGCUCUCCAGCUGAAGGUGCACGGCUCAUAUAUGAAGAACAUGAACUUCAAAAUCAUCUCAUGCAAGUGUUGAUGAAGCCUUUGCGACCAGGCCAAGCUCCAAGAACCACCUUCCGAGUGAAGGAUUUGCUCUAUGUGCCUAGAACCAUCUAUCGCAUCUUGACCAAAACCCUCAGUCCUAUCACAGGCCACAAUUUUGAAGAAUAAGAAGAAGUCAUUGGCAUCAUGAAAAAUCUGCUGUUCAAUAUCAUUCAUGGUAUUCCCAUUAACUAUCACGAUUUAUUCGUGAGGACUUUGGCCAAUGUUGCGCUGUCGCCAUUUGAAUUGAAGCCCUAUGCUCCUUGGAUAAUGAAAUUCAUCAGAACCAGGUCUUCAAUUCCAUACAAGGCUGACUUUCAGAAUCACCUUAGCUUUCUGCCUCCUAUUGAAGUCAUAAAAAGGACAAUUUCCUUGGUUGAUGAAAAAGGCAAAGAUGCUGUUAUUGAUAAAGGCACUCGUCCAUUGUAUGGCCAAUUCUGUAAGGCUGCAUCUUACUCCACCAAUGUUGACUCUGCAACCCAGGACUCUGUUGCUAAAGCCACCGAGAAAAAUCCUCAAGGCAUUGCCCCUCGUGUGAUGACUGAUCGGGAGCUUCUUCUAAGUCUUCACUACAAAGUCGAUCGCAAUGACAAGUGGGUCAAGAGUCAAUUGGCUCAAUUCUUCAAAACAUGACUAUUACUCAAAACACUCUCAAGAAGAAUCACUAUUAUGUGCAUGAAAUCUUUGAUUGCACUUGGGCUAUACUUUCUCAUCUUUACAGUGAUGAAGACCUCAAGCAGAUGGACUUUCAAUAGAACUUUGACUGGUCUCAACCUCCCUCGAAGAAAUUAAAGAAGGUCAAAGUUCCUCACCUGGUCACUAGUUCAUAUUCUUUAUCGUGUGAGGCAAAUGAAGCUGAGGAUCUCGAUGACACUGCAGCAGGCCCUACAUCGACAAACGACCAGGACAAUGCUGGCGCUCCUCCAUUAACCUCAUGAUGAUAUUCUUCAGGGGCGUUAGCCCUCAAGUUUCAUCCCUUUUGGUCAUUUGAUGACAAAGGGGGAGAAAUUUGAGUUAGUCUUCAAGCGGGUCUUAUAUAUGGGUUGUUUUUUCGUUUAGUUACAACUCUUGCUCUUCUAAAGUUUUUUUGGUUGAGUUGUAAACCUAAGUCCGAUGGUGGUCUGAUACUUUUAAACUGCCUUCUGCAUGCUUAUUUCCUCAAGCACCUUAAUGCACGCAUGCUGAAUUUCAUCAGUCACCAUUUUCCAUCAUGCAUUUCAAAUUCUUCAUAUUAUAUGUUAAAUGCGUGUAUGGAUUACAAGAUAUAGGGGGAGAUCAUCAGUCACCAUGAUUUUAUACUACAAUGUGCAUUUGCAAUCCAAAGAGAAUUCCUCAAAUAUGAACAUCUUUAGGUGGAGUUCUUCUAUGUCUUGCAAUCAAAUUCCUCAAUAUCAGUAUUUAGACUUCAUAUGUUUAACCCCGUUGAAAACUUAAACUAUUUGUCAUCAAUCACCAAAAAGGGGGAGAUUGUAAGUGCAUCUAGUGCCCCUUAGUGAUUUCGGUGUAUUGAAGACUUAUAGGUUAAGGGACUAAUGUGUUUGUGAGUGUACACAGGUCUUAUAAGUAUUUUAGGAGUUUGAUAUAUUUGAAGAAAGUCGACCCCUAAAAAUGAAUGUCUUCAUCUGAAGACUUUGAAAAUGAGGAAAUUGGUAUGAGCUUGAAGAUAAUGAUAUUGAUGCGAGGACUAUGAAGUGUGAAGACUUUGUUUUCGUAGUUUCAUUUUCCUUUCUUGAGUCAUAGGAAACGUCGUACUGUUAAAGGGGGUCAAGGUAAUACUAAGGAAAAAAUUCCAAGUGACGCUCAUCUCAAAGACUACAGAUACCCAAUCCUUCGAGUGAAGCCUUUGGAAAUCUCACAUAGUUCAGUCAAUUUCUUUAGUGGCAGAGACGAAGAUCUUCUGGUCUCCGAGGAAUUUGUUUUGACUGAGGAGUUAGGAAUUCGCCAGUGCGGAUUGCCUACAAGUGAGGAACAUGAUAGCCCUGAGGAAUUUGAGAGCUCAAGUUUCUGACCGUUGUUGUGCUACGUGCCAGCUGUCCGAAAUAUCUUAUCCACCUAACGGUCAUAUCAUUAGGGCAUUUAUGUCUUAUCAUGUCAGGCUGCUCCCCGGCUGUAAAUAGCCGCCCCUCAACCACUAGCUGGUUGACUGCUCUGAGAGAAACUGACACUUGUCAUUUAGAGCAUCCCGUCCUUUGAGGACUUCGAUAGAAAAUAAUCAGUGAGGAAAACCGAAAUCCCUAACUCCUAAAACCAAAAGUGAUUGAGCAUCACUAAAGAUAUUGUUCUUGUGUGGAACCAACGCUUGUUAAUUUUGAAGAUUGUGCAUCUUCCAGAUGGUUAGAGCGACUCUAGCAGACCCCGCAAAAACUUGACCCGCAAAAUGCGUUUGCGGUUUCAUGAAGAUCGUGUUUGCGGGUCAAAAAAUAGCGCGGCCGAAUAGAAACCGUAUCUAAACCUGCAUAAUUUGAAAAAACACUUUUGUGGGAGAAAUUGCACAAACAUAGUUCAUCACAUACUACAUAGAUUUUACAUGAUCAACACACUACAAACAUAGUUCAUAGUACAUACUACGUUAACUAGUACUAGAGGGGGCAGAUCUGAUGGCAGCGAGGUCGCGGCAAAUGGAUGACGCCGUGGAGGAGAAGGACGCUCAAUCCUCCUUGCCAGAGCUACAGAGCUCGACGUACUUCGCCCUCUGCUCCUCGCGGAUGCGGCGCCACUCCUCGGCCUUCUCCUUGCCGGUGAGGUUGGCGGCGACCGCCUGCCGCCACUGGAGGUCUUCGAGCUCCUCGGUGUGGCGUGGCGCUCCGCCUCCUCGCGCAUGCUCCGCUCAACGAUGGCGGCUGCAAUGGCAUCGACAUUUGUGACGUAGUCUUCCGGCCCAACGACUGCUCGGCGGCCGAGUGGAGCGGACUCCUUAGGCUCCUCCGUUAUGGGGAGGAAGUCGAACUCCUCUGGCUCCUCUGGCUCCUUCUCGUCCUCCGACCAGUCCCUCUUCACGGGGAGAAGGCCCACGCUGGAGGAGGAUUAGCUCCCGGUGUACGAAGAUCUCACAAAGGAGAAGGACGCGCGCCGGCGGUCAUACUCCUCCGUCUCGCCCCGCCGAUGCUCGCCGGCGGCAACAGGCCGCGGUUGGUCCACUUACAGGCCCCAUGCUUCCUCGUGCCAUCCGGCCGGGUGCGCCGCUCGCGCUCCGGGUUGCUUCAUCUGCCGGAUCUGCUGCCGGAGCCACGUCCGAAGCUCCACAUGCGGCCCCACAUGGCGGCUAGAGGCACGGAGGAUGGUCGCCAGCGGCGAGAAAUGUGUAGGAGAGGGUGGGAAUCGCGUGGCUCGGCGGCGGCGGGGGAUAGAGUUUCGACCCGCAAACCAGUCGCGGAACCAUAGAUAUAACGGUCGGGGCAUGCAGUUUGCGGGCCGCGGCAAAUUUUUUUGCGGCCUGGAGAGUAUGUGGGCUCUGCUUUGGCCGAAAAUUGGGCCGAGCCCGCAUACUCGCCGGAAAUUUGCGGGUUUGCGUGUUUUGCAUGGUCUGCUAGAGUUGCUCUUAGGCGUCAUGCUCUGGAGCAUACAACAGGAAUUGCAGAUCGCCAGGUGACCAAGUCUAUGACGGUAUGGAAGUCACCUUGAAGGCUUACCACGAGUGAUUGGGCGAGGUCUGUGUGACCUUACCUCAUGGAGAAUACGGUAAGGAUUGUGUGUCCCGGGACUGUGCCUCCUUUGGUUUAAAUACUAAGCCGCUCCAACGAAGACGUACAACUGUCACAACAGUUGGAACUGGUCUAUCAAAUCAUUGUCUUCACCAAGCUACUAGUUCUAUUUCCUCAACCCUUUCAUUUCCUUGCUUAUGUGUUGAAGAAAUUGAUCAUUACUGUGUGAAGACUUUGACUGAAGACUUUCUCAAUUUCUUCAAUCCUAUUUCUUCAAUCAUCUUGUCAUCUGCCUGCUUAUCUUGUUUACACGCUACCUCUGCUCUAUGUAUGUUUCAUUUCAUCAUGAUGACAAUGAUACUGUCUUGUUAUGCAUGCACCUGGGUACUUAUUUUGCUGCAUGUAGUUCGUCACUUAGCAAAUUCCUCAAGUUGUAUUUCCUCAGUGACGAAUUUGUAAAAAUCGCUUAUUCACCCCCUUCUAGUCAAUAUAACACACUUUCAUGGAUCAUCUAGCCCUAAUUCUUCUUCUAUAAAUACCAAAAUAUCCCCGUAGACCAGGGGGACACCAAAAAUACUUUUCCGCCGCCGCAAGUUCUAGAACCACGAGAUCCCUUUUGGAGGCCUUUUCCGGUACUCUGUUGGAUGGGGAUUCGACCAUGGACGGCUUCUACAUCAACCUUCCUGCCCUUCCGAUGAUGUGUGAGUAGUUUACCACAUACCUACGGGUCCAUAGCUAGUAUCUAGAUGGCUUCUUCUCUCUCUUUGAUCUUUAAUACAAUGUUUCUCCUCGAUGUUCUUGGAGAUCUAUUCGAUUUAAUCUUCUUUUGCGGUGCCUUUGUUGAGAUCCGGUGAAUUGUGGGUUUAUGAUUAGAUUAUCUUUGAAUAUUAUUUGAGUCUUCUCUGGACUCUUUUAUGCAUGAUUAAGAUAGCUUUGUUUUUCUUUCUGAUAUAUCCAUUUGGUUUGGCCAACUAGAUUGAUUUUUCUUGCCAUGGGAGGGGUGCUUUGUAAUGGGUUCAAUCUUGCGGUGCCAUUAAGGACAAAAAUAUGGGGUUUGUUCAUAUUGAUUGGAUCUGUCCUUGUAUAUUAUGUCAUCUUGCUUAAGGCGUCACUCCGUUCUUGUUAACUUAAUACACUAGAUGCAUGCUGGAUAGCAGUCAAUGUGUGGAGUAAUAGUAGUAGAUGAUGGCAGGAGUCGGUCUACUUGUCAUGGACAUGAUGCCUAUAUUCAUGAUCAUUGCCUUAGAUAUCAUCAUAACUAUAUGCUUUUCUAUUAAUUGUUCAACAGUAAUAUGUUUACCCACCGUAUGCUUUCUUUCAAGAGGGAAGCCUCUUGUGAAAACUAUGGCCCCUGGGUCUAUUUUUAUCAUAUUAUUUCCAGAUCUAAAGAAUCAAAAACACAAAAAUACCUUGUUGCAAUUUAUUUACUUUUAUUUGGUUUUACACUUUUACUUAUCUUUUAUAUCUAUCACUAUCAUAUCUCAUCCUCGCAAGUAACCGUGAAGGGAUUGACAACCCCUUUAUCGCGCUGGGUGCAAGUAUAUGUUUGUUUGUGUAUGUGCAGUCAUUGGUGACUUGUGUGUUCCUCCUAAUUUAUUUAUUCCUUGGUUCUCAAUUGAGGGAAAUAAUUAUCUCUACUUUGCUGCAUCACCCUUUCCACUUUAAGGAAAAAACCAACGCAAGCUCAAGAAGUAGAACUCCUCCAUCUGCAUCCACGUACCCAUGGAACAGUGUGAGCGAACAUCCUCUAUAGUCGAGACUCCAAGCAUGGAGUCUAAGGUCCGAAAUAAGGUAGUGUAGAAAAUGACUUCGGCCUAUGAUUCAACAUCAUAGGAGUCUCCUUCGACCGUAGAAAAGCAUCCUCCUCUUUGGCAGCAAGCACAAGGACAACGGUAUCUAAGAGAAGAGGAGUGUAGGAUCAAAAGUAUGACUUGAGGGAGGGUGAUUAGACUACUUGACCAAAUAAAAAUCUAUCAUUUUCCCAAUUUUAGUCAUGGGUAGAUUUCAGCAAUUAGCACAAGUCAAGCAAUCAACCUACACAUGCAAUUCUAAGCGUAUAGUAGGGAAAGUAAAACAUUGCAUAUGAAGGUAAAGCGAAGGGUUUGGAAAAGGCAAACACAAUGGAGACAUGGAGAUUUUGGGCAUGGUUCCGACACGUGGUGCUAUCGUAUGUCCAUGUUGAUGGAUAAUUCAACCCACGAAGGGUAAUGGCUGCGUGAGUCCACGGAGGGCUCCACCCACGAAGGGUCCAUUAAGAAGCAACUUUGUCUAUCACACCAGGGCCAUCGCCCAUGAAGGACUUGCCUCACUCGGGUAGAUCUUCACGAAGUAGGAGAUCUCCUUGCCCUUACAGACUUCUUCGUUCAACUCCACAUCACAAUGGAGGCUCCCAAGCGACACCUAAGCACUCUAGGAGACAUCACUCUCCAAAAGGUAAUAGAUGGCGUAUAGAUGAUGAAAUCCUUGCUCUUGUGCUUCAAAUGAUAGUCGCACCAACACUGAACUCUCUCACACAGAUUUGGCUAUGGUGGAACAGGGAUUUGAGUGGAAAGCAACUUGGGGAAGGCUAGAAAUCAAGGUUCAAAUGGUAGGAAUGGAAUAUCUUGAUCUCAACACAUGAGUAGAUGUCUCUCUCUCAGAAAAUGGAUGGUGGAAGUGUAGGUAUGUUUUGAUGGCUCUCUCUCUCUGAUGGAGAAGGGGGUGGAUGGGUAUAUAUAGCCUCCAUACAAAAUCCAACCGUUACACACUUUUGACUCAUCUCGGUGGCAUUGAUUAGAAAACUCUGUGGAACCGAUCUAUUCAAAAAUAUGAACAUUAGGAAUCUCGGUGGGAUGGACUGGAACAACUCAAUGGGCCCGAUGUGCUAGGGCUUAGGGCAAACAUCAUCUCGGUGGUGCCGAUUGCGUCAACUUGGUGGGACCGAAGUGAAGAAAUAAGCAAUAGAGAAUCUAUGAAGACAACCCGGUGAGACCGAAGCGAAUGCAAUAGAUCACUAAGUGCUAGCAAGGCCAUCUCAGUGAGACCGACAUCCGUAUCGGUGUGACCGAAUCGUUAGGGUUUCCGGUAGUGGCUAUGUCAUAUGAACCCGGUGGCUCUGGGUAGAAAGAAUCAGUGGGUCCAAGUUUGAGUUUCGGGUUUGGACAUAUUUGGAUGGAGAAAGUGGCUGAGUGUUUUGGAGCAAUAUCCACUACAAAAAAAUAACUUCGGUGAUGAUACGUGUUUGUCACAGUAGGUCGCAUUUUUUCAUGCAUGUACAUCGAUGACGAUUUAUGACAUAAUCAAGAUAGUCAUAACUAUGCUGUCGUAGAAGUGUUCCAUGACAUUACCAAAAUUAUCAUCAUGGAAGUGUCCACUUCCAUGAUGAUAAAUCGCGCGUCACAGAAGUACUUUCAUCAAGGGUGACCGACAUGUGGCAUCCACCAUAACGGAACGCCGUUAAGCUAUCGGGUCCGGUUUUGGAUCCGGUAACCCAUUAACAACCCCGACCAAUGGGGAUUUUCCACAUGUAAAAUCAUCAUUGGCUGGAGGAAACACGUGACGGCUCACCGUUGGGACAGAUGUCAUCCACUCAUUGGACCCAAGGCGCCUAUGAUACGUCGACACGUGUCACGGCUCAACAGAGGCCCAUUCUUGUGAAAAGGCCGGCCCAUUUGACAUGGUCAAAAGGUGGCGGGCCGGCCCACGGAAAGCCUUUUAAUGACAUGUUCGCAUAUAGCACAUUUACAGCCCGCUAACUCACGCCCAGUUACGGCCUACCGGAAUUAGGCCAAGUAGCGUCAUCUGGGCCGUCCAAUAUGAUUCCAGCCCGUUGUAACUUCCGACCCAUGUAUGGCCCAUGACGUAUUUCGGCCCAUAUGAGUCCCUUUGUAAAUCUUGGCCCAUUAACGGCCUGUGGUGAAACCGGCCCGUAAUGAAUAGUGUAUCGCUUUAUACCCAUUAGCGGCCCAUUAUUCCAUUGGGUCAUUUCUAGCUCGUGUUACCUUUCGGCCUUCUCAGGGCCCAUUUAUUCUUGGGCUCAUUUCCAGCAUUCGGUUACUUAUGGCCCGUUACUGUCCUUUUCUGCUUAUGGGCCAAAUUCAGCCCGUGGGUACAGUCGGCCCAUUUGUGGCCCUUUAAUCUGUUGGGCCAUUUUCAUAGCAUCAUCAAAUACGGCCUAUUAACGGCCCGUUAUGGUAUGGCCAUAAAACGUACGAUUUCCACACUAGCCCAUUUACGGCCCCUUAUACGGCCCGUACAAGGCCCAUGGAUGAGACGGCCCGUAGAAGGCCCAUUGAUCCAACGACCCAUAGAAGGCCUAUCGAUCCGACGGCCCAUAGAAGGCCCAUGGAUCUGACGGCCCAUAGAAGGCCCAUGGAUCCGACAGCCGAUAGAAGGCCCAUGGAUCCGACAGCCCACAGAAGGCCCACAGAUCUGACGGCCAUGGAUCGUCCAUCUCAUAGAUGGCCCAUGGAUCGUACGGCCUAUGGAGGGCCAUGGUCACUACAACGUUUGGGCGAGUUGGCCCCUGUUUGAAUGAUCUAGCAUAUUCAAAGAAUUAUUCUACUCUAUACUAUCACCUCUAAAAACAUACACUAUACAAUAAAGAGACUAAGGCAUAUAAACGUAGAAUAAUCCUACACUAUACAAUAAAGAAAUUACAGCCGAUUAUACCCACUGGGCAUUAUGGUUUGACACCAGUGAUAAUAAAGCAUACACAAACAGCAAAUUACAUACACUGGGCAAAUACAGCUCCUAUAUCAUGGACACGCAUCAACAUAACUUACCAUUUGAACUAUAAUCUCUUCAGAAAAUAGGAUCGGCCGGAUUUAGAUAGCACAAAUUUCAGUCUGCAAAAUCUCCAAUUCCUUCAUUGUUACCUCAGUGUCUUGUUUCAUUUUUUGACUCCUGCAUCUAAUACCUGCAUGUCCAGUCUCAACUUGUUGAUUGUACGUUGAGAAUCAUGUACACGUUGUCUUUCCACCUCUAGUUGAUGCUCGAGAACAUCAGCACAUUCCAAUUCCAAUCCAUAAUCAUUCGAUAAUGGCCAUGCCGCACUGCUCGCAUAUCUUUGUGUUGAUGUCACUUCAUCCUGAAAUGUUUCUGUAAGUACACAUGACUAGGGCAAAAAUAUAGUUACAACAGUGAAGUGAGCAAGACAUACUAUUUUGUACAUGGCAAAAGAGGACUAACAAUAAUGUUACACGUCAUGAAGCAUAAGGAGGUGAUAUUUUAAAAACUAUAAAAAAGGUAGUAUGUGCAGCCUACAUACAGAAAUCUGUCUUAGCUCACUAGAGGAACAUGAUGUCGGGGCCCAAUCCAAAACACAGACAAGUUACAAAUUUAGACAACAUGUUGCGUAGAAGUAAGCAAGCAGUUGGCCAUUUUGUAGCUUAAUUAAAGUCUUAGGGAGCAUAAUGAACAGCAGAGGGUUUCAUACAAGCAUACUACAGCAAGCAAAACUAUGCAAUCAUUAGCCUAGUAUAAACUAGAUUGUGAGCCUCAUGCAAUAAUAGUUCAUUAAUAGACUUCAAAGCUUCAGGAACACUUCGGCAGAGUAAUUAAAUGGUAAGGCCUUUAAUUAUGUCAACUAAUAGUUAUACAAGUACCCAACAUCAGGCAUCAUUCUUUGGGCAUCUCAUUAACUGAGGACAAAUAAAGCAAUUGAAAAGAGCAAAUUAACUAUUCCUGAAACAAACAAGGAAUUAAACUGUUGAGUUGGAUACAGUGACUUACCUUAACAGGUUGAAGAGGCUCAGCGCAGCUCCUACUUCUCUUGCAGGGCUCCUUCCUAACAUCUUGUACUUGGAAAUCCUCAAUUUUAUCUUCAUUGCACCCCCUCUGCAAGGUGACACAAACUAGUUACUCGUCUCCUUGGAAGAUAAAUAUGCAUACUUUUCUGUCUGUGAACACAAAAGGAUGACAUUAUAACAAAACAACACCACAUAAUGAAACAUGUCACAUCUCUUGCACUUGCACACAAUGAAAUGAGCAUUUACUAUGUCGGCACUGUAAAACUAGGCAUACCUUCGAACUGGAUCUCCAGGUACUCUUGGAGAGCCUACUUUAGUGUACAGCCAAACCUUUACGUCACCUAUGAGUUAGAAAAGGCCCCACUACAGCAGCCCUUAGUGUUUAAAUCAUUGACAAGCUCUGUUAGAUUGUUAGAUCACUACACCACAACACGGUUGUAAGGGCAGGAAAACUACCGGGAUAAGGCACUUACAAGGGCAGUGAUAUUGUCGGGAAUGUUUUUCUCCCGGCAGAUAGAACUGCCAUGAGAACGGCUGCUGGGAAUUGUAAUUCCCGGCAGAUAGGGAUGUGCCGGCAGUUUUUAUGCCAUCAUGUUCAAACUUCUCCCGGUAGUUCCUGUUCUCCCGGCAGAUAUUUUUUGCCAGCAAUCAAUAGGUUUCCUGGCAGAUGAUGGGCCAGUGGUGCCAAGUAUCCCAAUUAAUAAGGCUAUUACACUCUGGUGUUACAUUUAUUUCACAUUUACAUACACCCCGAUUCAAAAGAUGACACAUCCAUUCAAAUAAAGCAAAAAGAUUAUGUAGAUGCACAUCGCAUAUAUAUUAUAAAGUCUGAUCAUCAAACAUUUUACAAUGUAAGCAAUUCAUUGAUUACACAUGAAGACCCGACGCCCGUCAUGGACGGAGCUGCAUGCGUGCCAUGAAAAAUAGGGCAAAAGCACAGAGGAUGCCACGAUCCGUACACGGACCAGUACACGUACCCAGAACGGGCCGUAUGGGGACAUGGGAAAAAAAGUUUUCCGAGAAGUCACCCCCUAUCCCUACCGGGCCGCUCGCGCGGGCGGCUCCGGAGGCGAACCCUAGCCCCCGAGCGCACCCCCUUCUCUGUGCCCCCCUGGCCGCCGCCAUCGCCGGCGCCGGCGGUGGUGGCGGCGCCCGGCCGUCAAAGGCGGCGGGCGAGUUCCGCAAGCCCUGACGGGCCUUCUUCGCGCGGAGAAGGGCGUCUCGCGGGCGGCGCGGUGGCGGUUGGAUUCCGGUGAGGUGACACACGGCGGGGAGCGCGGUGGAGAGGCGGAGCGCGGUCGCAAGGCGGUGCGGGCGGCUGUCUUCUUCGGGUGACGUGUUGGGAGCCGGAGGUUGUGGUGCGGGGUCCUGGUGGAGGUGGAUCUCAGCCAGGUGCGGCGGCCGGGAUUUGCGGCGGUGGCUGGGACGCGCGGCGCGCCUCCUGCUUUCGGCGGGCGUGGCUCAAGGAAGGCGCCCCCUUUUGGGGUGUUGGGGGCGGCGUGGUCUGGAUCUUGCUGGAGGCCGGAGCGGGGUCUCGUGCAGGGCCGCUCCAGUGGGCACGCGCGGUCGCGGUGGGCAGCUCAGCGCGCCUGCUCCUUCCCUGCUGGGCCCUGAGCUGCAGCAGCGGCAUUGAUGGCGGCCAGGUGAUGGUGUGGCCAGCCCAUGCCUAUGGGUGCAGUGGAUCUGGGCGGCGCUGGAGGUCUGAAGCUGGAGAAGUGUUCCUUCGACCGCGCAGGUGCUGUUUGGUGGUACGCGUGCUCUCAGCCGUGUGAGGGUCGGUGUUCCGCGGCGGUUUGAUCACGUUGGCGAGGUGUUGCGGCAGCGGCGGUGUGACCCCAACAGUUGGGCCUAAUCUGUUGACAGAGGGUGGAGGUGCGCGGCGGUUUGGAUGAAAAUCCUGCUCAUCUUCGGUCGAAGCUGGCGGUGACGGCGCCCGUGGGUGUCGUUUCCCUCCUUGGAGGCGUCGCCGUGGUGUGUUGGCAUCUCCCUUUCUUGAUCGGGUUGUGGUCUUCGGGCGAAAGCCUUUGGUCCGUUGCAGGACCAACAAUGGCAGCGGUGUGGCAUCGUUCCUCUGUUGAGAGCAUCACAGGUGAAGACUUGGCUUGGGUACUGUUUGUGGUUCUCUGGUGCUUGCCGCUGUUCGAGCUGAUCUUCAUGGACGCUAUGCACGCAGCCACCGGCAUAUCCAAGACAAUGGCUUUCACGGGUCCGACCGAGUCCGGCUAUCCACUCGCCGUCUCCUCUUAGGCAUCCAAGGGUGGGUAGUGCGUUGGCAAGGAGUUUCCGGUUAGAGCUGUUGCUUCGGGGAGGCCAGCAUUUGUUGUGACGCGGCUAGAUGAUUGGUCUAGGACAGGCAUUUUGUGUUGUGUUUGUAUUUGUCGCGAUGGAGUGUGGAGUUCGAGCUACACUUGUUGUUCGCAACAAGUUGUAGUUUCUUGUACAAUAUUUCUGCCUUCUAUAAAAAUAUGGUACGCCUAGGCGUACUCUCGAAAAAAAACACAUGAAGACUUCCCUCAUAAUUUAGCAUCUGUAGUUUCUAGACAUUUGAGCAGUACAAGAUGAAACAAACACAAAGAGUAAAGCCUGUAAGUUCUGCGUGAGCUCACGGCAUAUGGUUAAGGCAAGGUAUCUUGACGAAUCUUACAGGAACAUUUUCAACCUGGACAGGAAAAACCAAAUGUCAAGUCAUGUAGUAUUAGAAAACAUUAUAUCCAUUACAUUUAUUACGAUACUCAGAAUCUACAAAAGUGCACCACCCCAACUUUUAGAAGAAAAAUGGCUACAUCAUCAAGAAAAUUUAUCGACAAAUUUCCCAUCAAGGCAUCAAGUGAAUAUUCGAUUUAAUAAGAAGCUAAAAAAUGUCCGCAGUUUCAAGCCUGGGCACAUGAAUUAAGCACAUCUAGUUGCCCUUCCUAGAAAGCAUGACAACAGUUUCAGGUCUGGACAAAUAAUUAAACCCAUAAUGGCAUGGUGAGAUUGUCUCUGAUAUUAAGUUUAGUUUUCUGAAAGUGAAGACUCAUCGAAAUCUGUUUGAAAACACUACACAUAAGACAAAAUGGGAACAACGUUCAAGAAAAAGGAAGUGUCAUCCACAACCUGUAUGAAUUUUUGACAUCAUAGGAUCUAGUAUUUUUGUAUGAGCAGACAAAGGCAACUAGUACAGCAAAUAAAAUUCAAACGUUUUUCCAGCAUUAACUAAGAAUUAUAGAAACUAAAAUGUUUGGUGUUAGGCUUAACUCAAAAGAACAUACAGAGCUUUCUUACAUGCAUAUAUCAUGAUAUUCAGGUGUGAGCUUCUGAGAUGUCAAAGGAAAUACAAGGACAUUUUCAAUGCUACUUUAUAUAGAGAGAAAAAGACAAGUCGGACACAAGAGAACCGUACAAAAUACCUCUUUCACCAAUCAGAUCAUAAAGUAGUAUCAUGAUUCCUGAAGAACACACACCAACAUGCAAAUUAGAUUGCAAGUAAAGAUCAACCUGUAACCAUUGCAGUGAUAGAUACAGAAAAUUAAUCAAGAAAUUCCAAUGUUUAGUAGAUACAACUCUACUGCAGAUUAAAAGUUUACUUCUCAAAUAAUGAUAUAGAUCUGUACCGAAGUGUAGUAUCUUCGACCUUCAAAUCUUACAACAUUGUAAGAGCAGUAUACUGUAAGUUUAAAAGCUAAAUCAUGUCCAGACUAUCAUCUUACAACACCGUUAUGUAUGGCCUUGUUAGAGUGUAAGAACUAGACAAGACAUUCAGGAUGUUUUGUCAGAUGGAAAUGGUACGGCCUUGCUCCAGUUUACGCAGCAAUACAAUAGCCUUCCCAAUUUUGUGAAAAAAUGAAUUAAUGAGGAAAGCUCUGCAGAAUGUACAAUAAAAUAAACUAAAUAACCAUCAUAAAUUCACAUUGUUGGCUGCUAUACACUAUCAGUUGAAGACAACAGACAAGAGCUCAAAAUGUCACCGAAGGCCGCUUAUCUAGUACACUAUAAUUAGAAUCCACCAUUAUAAGUUGGUACAAUUUAUAUUAAAACUUUGACAUCUUUGUACUGGAGCCUGUUAAUUGUAAAGCUCUUAUCAUUAUUAAGCAAAGAACACGAGCUUGUUAUUUGAUUAUAAUUUGACAUAUUGUAUACAAGCUUGUUGUUUAUACUUUGAUAUCUAGUUAAGCAAAGAACAGCAAACACUUCGACAUAUAGUUUAUUCACGUGAGAUCCAACACCAUGAAACUAAGUUGUUAAAUAAUCAUAUCAUUUGCGCAAGGCCUAUAAAUGAAGACCUUAAUUAAGUAGGACAUGAACCAGAAUGAUCAGAAUAUCUACACACAUACGUUUUGACUAGUACAGAAUUAGCAAAUAUCCCAAUUUCCUUCCAUUCACAAGACUUCGAGUUAGCUACUCGGUUUGUCUCGAUGGUGUCCCCUUUUAUUUCAUCAUUCUUUUCUGGAAAACCUUAUAAGUGGUUAGCUACUCAGUCUGUCUCAAUGGUGUUAACUAUGUACGCAGUUUAAGUUCAAUCAAAAUGGACCCUGAGAGUGGCCCUGUUUUUCUAAAAUGAACCAAAACAAUAGGGCUUUAGAACAACAGAAAAUAACAUACUUUACAUAUAUUAUUACCUUAAUUUAGGUUCAGUUUAAAUGUCCCGAUGCUCCAAUUUCUCCUUUGGAUUGAAGAUCUAACACAAGGUUACCUUUCUUGUAUUGACAUCUCAAACUGAAAACAAUUUAACACAUCAAUAUGCCUUGUUGAACAUUUAUCUAGUUGCAUUAAGCCUAGCACAUUAAGGAUAAAUUUCUAUACUUCAUAUGUGUGCGACUCUCCUGUUCCUAAAAAAACUCCCAUGUCAGGAUAAUCUUCCUAGUACAACAGCUUGCUGCAUUUCCUUGAAAGAUUAAAUACCAACCAUCAUUAUGAAGUUUCAGAGAUGAACACAAAAUCCUUAAUUUGGUUUGUUAUAAACUAUAACCGAAGGAUAUAAGCAUAAACACAGCAGUCAGUUAGCAUAUGCUAAAUAGUAACGGGAGAGGGAUAAGUGAUAUUCAGAUUCUUCCAUGCUUGUCAAAUUCGAAGGGAUAAGUGAAUGUACCAAAGACUGUAAUUCGUACAGUAGGAAUGUCAACUGAAAACAGAAAUAGAUGAGUAUGGCAGGUAGGAAUCAUCAAUUUUAUCCUUCCCUAGAUCACAGGAAGCAAACAUUAGUUGGGCUCAUAUAACCAGCAACAUGGAGAGACAACAUAACCCUUACGACUGCUCAACCAUGGGAGGCGGAACCUUGCUCAAUUUUCCUUCGCAUCUGCGAGUCGCUUGGGGAUC
rnacentral:lncRNA from 1 species